rnacentral:rRNA from 1 species
GACUACCAGGGUAUCUAAUCCUGUUUGCUACCCACGCUUUCGUGCCUCAGCGUCAGUGAUAGCUUAGAGAGCUGCCUUCGCAAUCGGUGUUCUAUGACAUAUCUAAGCAUUUCACCGCUACAUGUCAUAUUCCGCCCUCCUCAACUAUACUCAAGACUAGCAGUAUCAAUGGCAGUUCUACAGUUGAGCUGCAGGCUUUCACCACUGACUUACUAAUCCGCCUACGCACCCUUUAAACCCAAUAAAUCCGGAUAACGCUUGGAUCCUCCGUAUUACCGCGGCUGCUGGCACGGAGUUAGCCGAUCCUUAUUCUGCGGGUACCAUCAGCCUCGUACAAGUACAAGGGUUUUUUCCCCGCCAAAAGCAGUUUACAACCCAUAGGGCCUUCAUCCUGCACGCGGCAUGGCUGGAUCAGGCUUUCGCCCAUUGUCCAAUAUUCCUUACUGCAGCCGCCCGUAGG